GGAGGGGGCGGGGGAGGGGAGGGAGAGACCCGAGAGGCUGGGCCGUGCGGUUCGCGGGCCAAGGAAGACGUUGGUGCUGAGGGGGUGUCCGCCGCGGCUCUCAACUGACCCCGGGCCCCGGGGCAGGUGUGAGGAGUGUGACCAGCCAGCCUAAUUCACAGCGGGAGCGGGCCCGGGAGGUGGGCUGACCUGGCCUCUGACGGGGCCUCCACCUGCCUGACGGUGGGUGACUCCACAGGCUGAGGAGGCCGCGAGGGGCUCCGAAGGGUUCUUACCUGAACUUGGUGUCUUACUGACUGGGGCAGCAGAGCCAGCUGAUUAGAAGGGGGCCUGACUGCUGGCUGAGGCAGGGGAGAAGCCCCACGUCUUCGUAUGUGCAGGUAAGUUACUGAGUUGCUGGCUGACUGAAACGCCGAAGAGGCACACACGUAGAGCUGUGAGGUCCCACAGUACAUGUACACUCCGCUGCUGUGACCAAGCAGACGCUAUAAGGAAAAAAACUGUAUCCCCAACAGAGGGAAAUGUUGGUGAACUUCUGAAUCAGCCAGAGGAGGUGAUAAUAAAGACUGCAAGACCACACACCAGCAUGUUCAACUGAGAAACUGAAUUUUUCGAUCCUGCCUAAAACUUGGUAAACACAGAGUCCCUGACUACAUCAUCUGAGAAUUUCUGAAGAACACCUUGUCAACCAGAUGGGAUGAAUAUCGGCCCUGGAGUUACUUCCCUUAACUGUGUCUCUGGAGCAUGUGAAGUGGGGUGAGGGGGACGCCGUUUACCACAUCAAAUGGGAAGCGAGUCAGGUGGAUGUGUGCCUUGUGCUGACUAUUCCCUCUCCAGCCUUUGAGCUGAUAGAGUUGUGGUGCAUGGGUCCUACUUGAGGACACUGUAUGGAGGAAUAGGAAUAUGCAGGAGGGAGUCCUGACUGCAGUAGGUGCAUUCAUGCCCUGUGGAGAUUAAGCUCUCUUCAGGCUGAGGUGUGGAUUAGGAAACACCAGAGAGGAUUAGGAAGGGCCAGCUCCAGAAUGUGGGCACAUGCGAGUCUACUAAGAGACAGACGUGUAAUGUGAUGUGUAAAUAGGCUCAGUUUAAAAAGUGGCUAGGGAAGCCAGCAGUAGUGGCUCGUACCUUUAAUCCCAGCACUCAGGAGGUAGAGGCAGGUGGAUCUCUGCGUUUGAGGCCAGCCUGGUCUACAGAGUGAGUUCCAGAACAGCCAGAGCUACACAGAGAAACCCUAUCUCAAAAAAAAAAUUUUUUUUUACAAAAAAAUUAUAAUAGUAAAAAAAUAAAAGUGGUAGGUUUGUCCUAGAGUUGCCUAACAGUCUGAAAGGCAAAUUCUAUUGCCAGAGGCAUAUUCUUUUAGUCAUGGAAUGUUGACCCUCUGUGCAAGGAAAAAACCCUCACAGUAGAAGGGCACGCCCUGUCUCAAAGACCAGGGAGCAGCUGGGAUACACACACUGGAGCGCACUGCAGACUCGGCAUACCUACGUGCAGAGCUCCUGCCUCUUCUCCCCUGGCACUGCACGGUCCAAGUGACGCCUCUUACUCGGAACCUGCCAGUAGUGAUGGACCGGAACCACUCUGAUCACGAAGCUGUGGGCUAAUGAGUCCCCUUUUCCUGGGCUGUGUGGAGAGGGAAGUGACGUACAGUGUCUCAUGCAGCACCUGGCACAGGGUCAUGCUUAUCAAAUCCCUUCUCUGGAGUGAGGUGGGGCAGCUCCCAGGGAGAGCACAGGGCUGGCUACAGAGACCUGUCACGUGUCCCUCCCUGUCCUUCAGCUUGUUGGGCCACAUUGAUCACUCGGGCAGGUGCUAUGGAGAAGGCUCAGCCAUCACACCCAGGCAGAGCAGGUGGUAUGGUGACAUGGUAGAGGUACUUUAUCAUGCUUGCAUCCUGUUUGGGUCCAUGAUGGGUCUGUGUGCAGUAAACAGAGUGUCACUCAAAACUGUGUGCCAGUGGGUAGUGUGGGGAGGAGGGCAAACAAAGCUCCAGGUAGCUGGGUACCUAGGAGGAGGUGGGUGUCGGGGAGGAGGUCUCAGUGCAAGUUUUGAGGACAGUGGGUUCCCAUGUGCGGCAGAGGCCACAGGAGGAAGGGCGCUGCAGCUGGCAGCACAGUCAGGUGUCCUGUGGUGGAGAAGAUGGUCAGGGGAGCGUGAGGGGACUGGAGGGGGAGGGAAGGGGCAGUGCCAGGCCCUGGGUUGGUAGAGUACUGGGUGAGUAGGAAGAGGUGGAGACCUGGGCUCAAAUUCUCUUUCUGGAGGAAUCUGGACAAGCUACUUCACCUUCAUGAUUUUUCUUUCUUUUAAACAUUUUUUAAAAUUUCGUUUUGCUGGAGAUCAAACCCAGAGCCUCACACACACUGGACAAGUGCUCUUCCACUGAGCCCAUGGUUGUGAAGUGUGAAUAAUAGCAGAGUAACUGGGGGAGAGUUUGUUGGUGUGUUAAGGUGCCUGGCACAUCACUGACGUUUGGUAAAAAGCUCUCUCAGUCAUACAGGUAUAGCACCUGCAGGUGUAGCAUCAUAGCACAUGCUGUGCUGUGCUGGUGUUGUGUAAACUUGGCUGUCUUAGGAAGGGCUUUCACUAUGGCCUGGGCCCAUCACCUUCUGAGCAAUGGAGAGAUGGAAGAUAGUCCAGUGUAGGCUUUAGUAAGGAUGGUGUGGGGUGGGAAGGGAUUCACAAAUGAACGUUUAGUGUUUGUGUCUUAUUUACUGUUCUAGUGCUAUGGAGAGACACCAUAGCCAAGAAACUUAUGGAAGAAAACAGUUAAUUGGUGCUUGCUUACAGUUUCAGAGGGUUAGUCCCUAACCAUCAUGGUGGGGACAUGGAAGCAGGCAGGCAGGCAGGCAUGGCGCUGGACAGUGGCUGCGAGCUCACAGCCUGAUCUGAAAGCAGCAAGGAGAGGAGGGGGGAAGAUGGGCUUGGCCCAGGCUUUUAAAACUCCAAAGCCCACUCCCAGUGACACACCUCGUCCAACAAGGCCGCAUCCACCAACAGGAAACCAAAUAUUCAAAGAUAUGAGCCUUUGGGGGCCAUUCCUAUUCAAACCACCAUAUUCUACUCCCUGCUCCCCAUAGGCUUGUAGUUACAUCACAAAGCAAAAUGCAUUGAGUCCAACUUCAAGAGUCCCCAUAGUCUAUCAGUCUCAAACCGUUUAAAAGUCCAGGGUCUCUUCUGAGACUCAAGGCAGUCUCUACUGUAAGGCACAUACCUUAAAUAUGGAAUGGCACAGAAUAUAUAUUACCAUUCCCAAAGGAAGCAAAGGGGGGUAGUUAGGAAAUACUGGGUCAAACAAGACCAAAACCCAGCAGUGCAAACUCCAAACUCGGCAUCUCCACGUCCCAUAUUAAAGGGCUCUCAAGACCUCCAGCUCCUUCCAGCUUUGCUCACUGCAACACACUUUUCUCUCUUGGGCUGGCUCCAUACCCUGUCUUCAGAUAUCCCACAGCUCUGGCAUCUCCAGUAUCUUAGGGUCUUCAACAAAAUCCAGGCUUCAGCAUCACAACUGUAGUGGGCCACUGAACUGCCCUUAACACCAUCUCAUGAAGGCAUUCUUAGGAAAAACUUAGGUGCUAACAUUAUCUUGGAUAAACAAGUCUACCAGAUCUCAAUGGGACCCCAUCACUGAACAAGGUAAGGGGGCUCUUGAUACCUGUCGCCAUACUCUGAGGGUCUCUGGGAUGCUGCACAGAAGGUGACAGAUUUUCUAAGGUAAGUGAAGUUUUGCAAGGCUGGAACCUCUGCCAAGUUUCUACAAUCGCUGCUGGAUGCCUCCCGACCUGUACACCCACUGAUCUGGAAGCCCCAGAGAACAGCUGCAUGGCUAUCACAGCCUCUGUCACCUGUCAGCCCUGGUAGAAGAAGCACUCUCCAGAGGCUAGGGGGAUUUGAAGGAGAGGUGUUGUCAGAGUAGAGUCUUUAAUACCAGAAACUUGCCAGAAGAUAGGCAGGCAGAGGGUUAGCAAAGGCAACCGUGCUACUGCUGAGAAACAGGGAUGGAUGAUCUGCCAGAAGGUAAUGAAUGAAGCCUACAGAGGUGACUGGAGAUGCAUCAAGACCACUCAGACCCACUCUACCCCUAAAUCAAUGUGCAUAUUGUAAAAAAGAAGGGUAUUGGAAAAAUGAUGUCCAAACCAGGGGGUUGGCACGCCUGAGGCAAAAAUGCUCCAAUUAGAAACUGAAACCGCCUGAUGGAGCCAGGGCUUGGUCCCAUUAAGCCCCCAUGAGCCCAGGCUUACCUUGAGAGUGGGGGAGGGCAAGCCAGUCAGUCAACUUCCUGGUAGACACUGGGACAACUUUUUCAGUCCUAAAGAAACCCAAUGGACCCCUGGCAAAAAGAAAUUAAAUAAAAGUCCAAGGUAUGAUGGGGGAUCCAGGGAUUACUCUGGGACAAGUAAUCAGGUUGUGGACUUUGGAAGGGGCAUCAUCACCCAUAUGUCCCUGGUUAUGCCAGGCUGCCUCUACCCCAUACUAGGCCAAGACCAUUACACAAACCACAGGCCACUAUCACUUUUAAGGAAGACAGGUCAGAAUUAGAUUACAAACUCCCCACUAGAAUUCUAGUUACUUGUCCAAUUGUAGAAGAAUACCAGUUACUGUCCAAGCCAUCCCUAGCCCAACUGGGAUCCAUCUCACAUCUGGCUGAAUUACAAGCAGUGAUUCCAGGGGUGUGGGCAGAAACAAAUCCACCUGGACUGGCAAAACACCAAGCCCCAAUAGUAGUUCAGCUACUACUACCACGACCCCAGCCAGAGUGAAACAAUAUCCCAUGGGGAUGGAAGCAAAAAAGAAUUGCAAUUCACAUCAGAGACUCAGGGAGGCUAACAUUUUAGUCCUUGCCAGUCACCCUGGAACACCCCUCCCCCAAUCCAUAAACCCAGCACUAACUAUUAUAGGCCUAUACACCGUUAUUAGAUAGUGUAUAAGUUGUGCCCAAACAACUACUGGGCCACCAUCCAUGGUACCCAAAGCAGUUAGGUGAAAUGCCUGGAGAACACUGGUAGGUGGACUUCACUGGGGUAAAAACCAGGCCAAAAUGAGUUUUGUUGUUUUUUACUCUUUUGGCUCUUUACUCUUGGGGGCCCACCCCCAGCUCCUAAAUAAACCCACACAGAGGCUUAUUCUUAAUUAUAAAUGCCUG